rnacentral:tRNA from 1 species
AUCUAAAUAGCUUAUAUAGAGCGUAAUAUUGAAGAUAUUAAGGAAACGAUUGAGUUUUUAGAUA